UAGAGUUUGAUCCUGGCUCAGGAUGAACGCUAGCUACAGGCUUAACACAUGCAAGUCGAGGGGCAGCGGGGAUCUAGCUUGCUAGGUCCGCCGGCGACCGGCGCACGGGUGCGUAACACGUAUCCAAUCUACCCAUGUCUCAGGGAUAGCCCAUCGAAAGAUGGAUUAAUACCUGAUGGUCUUGUUCGGGGACAUCCCCGUUCAAGUAAAGAUUUAUCGGACAUGGAUGAGGAUGCGUCUGAUUAGGUAGUAGGCGGGGUAACGGCCCACCUAGCCGACGAUCAGUAGGGGUUCUGAGAGGAAGGUCCCCCACAUUGGAACUGAGACACGGUCCAAACUCCUACGGGAGGCAGCAGUGAGGAAUAUUGGUCAAUGGGCGCGAGCCUGAACCAGCCAAGUAGCGUGAGGGAUGACUGCCCUAUGGGUUGUAAACCUCUUUUGUAUGGGAAUAAAGAGAGCCACGCGUGGCUCGUUGCAUGUACCUUACGAAUAAGCAUCGGCUAAUUCCGUGCCAGCAGCCGCGGUAAUACGGAAGAUGCGAGCGUUAUCCGGAUUUAUUGGGUUUAAAGGGAGCGUAGGCGGCCUUUUAAGUCAGCGGUUAAAUGUCAGCGCCCAACGUUGGCAUGCCGUUGAAACUGGAGGGCUUGAAUACACACAAGGUAAGUGGAAUUCGUCGUGUAGCGGUGAAAUGCUUAGAUAUGACGAAGAACUCCGAUUGCGAAGGCAGCUUACUGGGGUGCGAUUGACGCUGAGGCUCGAAAGUGCGGGAAUCAAACAGGAUUAGAUACCCUGGUAGUCCGCACCGUAAACGAUGAAUGCUCGUUCUGGGCGAUAGACAGUCCGGGACGAGGGGAAACCAUUUAGCAUUUCUAAUGGGGGGUAGCCCGGCAACGGGGAAAUCAAAGGAAUUGAAGGGGGGCCGGCCAAACGGAGGAACAUGGGGUUUAAUUUGGUGAUAAGGGGGGAACCUUUCCCGGGCUUGAAAUGCGGGUGGACCGGUUAAGAGAUUGACCUUUCCUUUGGGGGUGGGGGGGGGGGGGUGCAUGGUUGUUGUUAGGUUGUGCCGUGAGGUGUUGGGUUAAGUGCCAUAAAGAGGGCAACCCUUUCUGUUAGUUGCCCUUAAGUAAAGGUGGGCACUUUGGCGGGGAUGCCAUCGCCAGAAGUGGGGAAGGGGGGGAAGACGUUAAAUUAGCACGGCCCUUACGUUCGGGGGUACACACGUGUUUCAAUGGUCAGGACAGAAAGCAGGGACUUGGGGGCGAGGGGGGAAUUUUGAAACCUGUUUCCCGUUUGGAAUGGAGUUUGCAACCCGACUCCAAGAAAGUGGAUUUGGUAGUAAUUGGGCAUCAACCAUGGCGCGGUGAAUAAAAUGCCGGGCCUUGCACUCACCGCCCGUCA
rnacentral:rRNA from 1 species